rnacentral:rRNA from 1 species
GGUGAGUAACGCGUUGGUGACCUGCCCCGAAGGCGGGGAUAACAGCUCGAAAGGGCUGCUAAUACCCGAUGAUCUCUGCUGGGUUAGAGGCCAGGAGAGGAAAGCAGCGAUGCGCUUUGGGAGGGGCCUGCGUCCCAUCAGCUAGUUGGUAAGGUAAAAGCUUACCAAGGCGAAGACGGGUAGGGGACCUGAGAGGGUGACCCCCCACACUGGCACUGAAACACGGGCCAGACACCUACGGGUGGCAGCAGUAGGGAAUAUUGCACAAUGGGCGAAAGCCCGAUGCAGCAACGCCGCGUGCGCGAUGAAGGCCUUCGGGUCGUAAAGCGCUUUUCGGGGAGAUGAGGAAGGACAGUAUCCCCGGAAUAAGGCUCGGCUAACUACGUGCCAGCAGCCGCGGUAAGACGUAGGAGCCUAGCGUUAUCCGAAUUUACUGGGCGUAAAGCGCGUGCAGGCGGUUCGGUAAGAUGGGUGUGAAAUCUCCUGGCUCAACUAGGAGAGGUCGCUCAAUACUGUCGAACUGGAGGAUGGUAGAGGGAGGUGGAAUUCCCCGGUGUAGUGGUGAAAUGCGUAGAUAUCGGGAGGAAUACCAGUGGCGAAGGCGGCCUCCUGGGCCAUACCUGACGCUCAGACGCGAAAGCUAGGACAGCGAACGGGAUUAGAAACCCCGGUAGUCCUAGCCCGUAGACGAUGUGACUUGGCCGUUUGUGGCGUAAAAUCCAUCAGUGCCGGAAGCUAACGCGUAGUCCAUCGCCUGGGGACUACGGCCGCAGGUUA